rnacentral:rRNA from 1 species
AUUGAACGCUGGCGGCAGGCCUCACACAUGCAAGUCGAGCGGAGCGGCGGACGGGCGAGUAAUGCCUAGGAAUAUGCCUGGUAGUGGGGGAUAACGUACGGAAACGGGCGCUAAUACCGCAUACUAUCAGAUGAGCCUAGGUCGGAUAGGCUAGUUGGUGGGGUAAAGGCCCACAAAGGCGCCGAUCCGUAACUGGGCUGAGAGGAUGACCAGUCACACGGGAACUUAGACACGGUCCAGACUCCUACGGGAGGAAGCAGUGGGGAUUAUUGGACAAUGUGCGAAGGCCUGCUCCAGACAUGCCGCGUCUGGAAAGAAGGUCUUCGGAUUUUAAAGCACUUUAAGUUGGGAGGCGUUACCAACAGAGUAAGCACCGGCUAACUUCGUGCCAGCCGCCGCGGUAAUUC